UACGGAGGGGGCUAGCGUUGUUCGGAAUUACUGGGCGUAAAGCGCGCGUAGGCGGACCUGCAAGUCGGGGGUGAAAGCCCUGGGCUCAACCCAGGAAGUGCAUUCGAUACUGCGCAGCUCGAGUCCCGGAGAGGGUGGUGGAAUUCUCGGUGUAGAGGUGAAAUUCGUAGAUAUCGAGAGGAACACCUGUGGCGAAGGCGGCCACCUGGACGGCGACUGACGCUGAGACGCGAAAGCGUGGGGAGCAAACAGG
rnacentral:rRNA from 1 species